rnacentral:rRNA from 1 species
UACAGAGACUGCAAGCGUUAUUCGGAUUCACUGGGCGUAAAGGGUGCGCAGGUGGCCAGGUGUGUGAGGCGUGAAAGCCCCGGGCUUAACCUGGGAACUGCGUUUGAUACGGCAGGGCUAGAGUUCGGGAGAGGAGAGUGGAAUUCCCAGUGUAGAGGUGAAAUUCGUAGAUAUUGGGAAGAACACCGGUGGCGAAGGCGGCUCUCUGGACCGAUACUGACGCUGAGGCGCGAAAGCGUGGGGAGCAAACAGG